GGGUGAGAUAUGGCUGGAGGGAUGGAGAGAUGCAGAAUCAAUAUGAGAGUGAAAUACAGAUGACUGUUUAUAUUUCCCCAUGUGGUGUAGUCACAUGUACAGUACAUGUUAUACAGCAUAAUACACACACAUACCCAGACACAUUGAAUGCCCUAGCUGUUUGUUGGCCUAUCGGUUGCUGUGCUAUUUGCAGAUGUUCAGCAGAGCAGCCACAUCCUGUGAGUCAUGUCCUGUGGAAAUGUCACUGGGUGGUGAAUUCGGAGGGGGACACUGAAGUCGACCAACCUGAUUCUAGAAACACCACGGGACCAAAUACUCUCAGUGGUUUCAAACCAUAUGACACUGGAGCCUUUGGUACUGCAUUUCACUCUUCAGUCUUCACUUUUUCCCCUGUUUAAAUGUGGUGGAUGGAAUUGCACUUCAUUGAGGUUCAACAAAUAGAGAAUGAAAACCAGGAGGACCUGAGCCCUAGGACCAUGCCUCAGGACCACCUGGCCUGAUGACUCCUUGCUGUUCCCAGUCCACCAGGUCAUGCUGCUGCUCCAGAUUCAACUGUUCUGCCUGCGGCUAUGGAACCCUGACCUGUUCACUGGACGUGCUACCUGUCCCAGACCUGCUGUUUUGGACUCUCUCUACCACACCUGCUGUCUCGAACUCUGAAUGAUCGGCUAUGAAAAGCCAACUGACAUUUACUCCUGAGGUGCUGACCUGUUGCAUCCUCUACAACCACUGUGAUUAUUAUUAUCUGUCCCUGCUGGUCAUCUAUGAACGUUUGAACAUCUUGGCCAUGUUCUGUUAUAAUCUCCACAGGGGCACAGCCAGAAGAGGACUGGCCACCCCUCAGAGCCUGGUUUCUCUCUAGGUUUCUUCCUAGGUUCUGUCCUUUCUAGGGAGUUUGCAGAGCCACCGUGCUUCUACACCUGCAUUGCUUGCUGUUUGGGGUUUCAGGCUGGGUUUCUGUACAGCACUUUGUAACAUUGGCUGAUGUAAAAAGGGCUUUAUAAAUAUUUUUGAUUGAUUUACUUGAAAAGCUUUAUAUGCCAGAACAUUUUUGAGAGAAUCUGUAGCCGCUGGCAAUACUAAACCUGCAUUAUUACUAUCUAAAUUAAACAUUGAUCGAAGCGAA